UCAAAACACAACAGACAUCAAAAAUUUCAGUGCAUUAAGAAUUAUAGAAUAUAACAGUCAGUUAAUAAAAUUAAAAACUUCGAAAACACUCAUGUAAAAUUUUUUACCUCCCUUCUUUUGUCGUUUUUCUCAUGUACCCAGUGAUCUGUUUAAGCUUAAAAAUACUUUUGCAUGCGUACAGGUUCAUAAUAGAUUGAGUACACAUAGCACCGAUUAUAGGUUGAUAAAAUUUAUUUUAUCAAAAGAAGCACUUCAGUGUUUUGGAACUUCCCACAAAAAUAGUUGUACAACUCAUCACAGUAUCACAGAGAACAAUCAGUAAUUGGACUUCAAACUGCUAAGAAUAUUUAACACAAUGCAAGGAAAACUCAUCUAAGGGGUGAAGCUAACCCACAGGUAUCUCGGUACAUCGACUCCCACUAAACUAACAAUUGAAAGCAAAUGCUGCCUCUAAUCUUACAUACCGUCUUUUUCUGAAAAUAAGACAUCCUCCGAAAAUAAGCCCUAUCGUGAUUUUCGGAACUUUUUUGUAAAAUAAGACAUCCCCCGAAAAUAAGCCCUAGUUAAAAUAAUGUGACAAAAAGAAUCCGUUAAAAAAUUCUGUUGAUUUAUUAAGUAUAAGUAAUAAUACGUUUAGCUUUUCUAAUACUCGUAUUUCAGAGAAAUAUUUGAAACAAAAUAUUCCAAGAAAUUAAUUGUUUACCUCUACAGUUCGUUUCAAAUUAAUUCUUGGAAUUUAUCUUAACGCAGUUCACCAUUUGCCCCGAGAGAGAUAUGUUCACAGGAAAGGCAUCGUCAUCCGUUAGCGUCGGCAGACUCUCCUCGGGGUGAAAUUUGGGCCAAUCGUAACCCCGAGACACAUACGACGCAGCGACGAUGGCUAUUUUGCAAGACAUGAGAGAUUUGGACCAAUGAUUCAACAGGAAAUGGAUUUGAAGAAAAUCAGAAUAUAAUUCAGAAUUUUAUUUAUGACGAUGUUCCAGAAGAAGAUGACAUGACUUGAAUUGAAUAAAUUUAAAUUUCUGUAUUCUGUGUAAAAUAAAUAUUAAAUAAAAAUAUAUAAAUAUACUUUUAUUUUUGCCCUCCCCUGAGAAUAAGCCCUAGCGUGUAUUUUGGACCAAAUUUGAUUGUUUAUGAAAUAUUUGUUAGUUUGAUACAUUUAUAUUUACCGUAUUGGCAACACCAAGUUCUCUCUUCUCUGUGUGCUAGCUAUGGAUGCCAAUGUAAUGUUGUGCACGUGUUGUUAAGUUUCAAUAAAAAAUAUGAAAAGAUUGCUUAUAUCUAUGUUUGUUUGUAAUUAGUAAAUAUAAAUGUAAGGAGGCGUGUUAGUUUGGUACAUUUAUAUUUACCGUAUUGGCAACACCAAGUUCUCUCUUCUCUGUGUGUGAGCUAUGGAUGCCGAUGUAAUGUUGUGCACGUGUUGUUAAGUUUCAA